rnacentral:rRNA from 1 species
GACGAACGCUGGCGGCAGGCUUAACACAUGCAAGUCAAGCGCCCCGCAAGGGGAGCGGCAGACGGGUGAGUAACGCGUGGGAAUCUACCCAUCUCUACGGAAUAACGCAUGGAAACGUGUGCUAAUACCGUAUACGUCCUUCGGGAGAAAGAUUUAUCGGAGAUGGAUGAGCCCGCGUUGGAUUAGCUAGUUGGUGGGGUAAAGGCCUACCAAGGCGACGAUCCAUAGCUGGUCUGAGAGGAUGAUCAGCCACACUGGGACUGAGACACGGCCCAGACUCCUACGGGAAGCAGCAGUGGGGAAUAUUAGACAAUGGGCGCAAGCCUGAUCCAGCCAUGCCGCGUGAGUGAUGAAGGCCCUAGGGUUGUAAAGCUCUUUCACCGGUGAAGAUAAUGACGGUAACCGGAGAAGAAGCCCCGGCUAACUUCGUGCCAGCCGCCGCUGUAAGAC